AUCCGGUUACCUUUCAAAAUAAAACACUCGGUGUUGACACCAGUACAUAAAUCUCAAAAAAAGAGACAAACACAAGCUUUUCUGCUAAUCCCUCGGUCGGGAACACUUCGUGUUAUUGUUCUUAAUAACACAGACCUGUAACUGCGGUCGUGAGUGAUCAUGUGAUUAUCGCGGGAACUCCUCUGCCUCGUGAGCCAGCUGUCUACCGUACUGCGCCGCAGCGGACUCAAACUGCAACCGGUGGAGAUUGCCGGACGCGGGCGGCGGAGCAAAACCGGAUCGGAGCUGCAACGCAGCGGACACGUAUCCAGUGGAAAUUGGGGAUUGCUGUACUUGCUGUGCAGUCUUGUGUUUUGUGUUCUCCCUGCCUGACUGUGGACCUGCCUGCCUGUUGCCAGCUUUCCUGUUUUACCGCUCUGUGUGAGUACACUGGAGAGGCGAACUUCCCUGCACCGUGCCGCAGCACCAGCAUCACCCUAGAGCAAACGCCGCAUCACGACACCUUCACCCUCGCAUUCACUUGUGUCUUCACAAGCCAGGUUUUGGAUCCCGGGACAACGCACCUCCUCUCUCCCCUGCACUUGUUACACGUUUGAACAUUAAAACAAACUUGUUAUUUAUUGUGAAUCUGUUGUCUGGGUCGUGCAUUUGGGUCCUAAUAGUCUACAAAUCAUAACAAAAGGACCACAUCACAUAAAGGCAAGUCUAUAAAAGUGGGUUUUAAGAAGUGAUAUAAAAUAAUUUAUCGAUCCUGCAAGCCUUAUCUCCUCAGACAGGGCGCUCCAAAGUCGAGGGGCCCUUAUGGCUAACGCACGGUUCCACUUUAGUUUUUACUCUUGACUUUGGAACUGUUAGGAAGGCCCCGCCUGAGGAUCUAAGGCGGCGAGCUCACUCAUAGGGAAUUAAAAUAUCUGUAAUGCUUUAAAAGUGAUCAGUAAAAUCUUAAAAUCAAUUCUAAAACAGACAGGGAGCCAGAGAGGGCAGCUAAUAUUGGAGUGAUGUGUUGACGUCUGUUAGAACCUGUUAGAAGCCGAGCUGCUGAAUUCUGUACCAGUUGGAGGCAAGAAAGAGAGAUUUGAUUGAUGCCGGAGAGAAGGGAGUUGCAGUAGUCUAGUCUAGAAAAGAUGAAUGCGUGAAUGACUUUAAGAUCAGGGGGUGUGAGCAUAUGUUUUAUUCUAGAAACGGGCAAGUUGAUAGAAGCAGGCCUGGACCAGUUUAUUAACAUGAGGGAUGAAAGUCAGCUCUGUGUCAAAGAGUACACCUAGGUUUCUUGCAGUGGGUUUUAUGUUGACGGAGAGGGGACCAAGGGCUUGCUGGUAAUGACUAAUAUUGUUAGGGGGGGUGAACAAUAUGAUUUCUGUUUUGGUGUUGUUAAGCUGUAAGACUUUUAUUCUGAAAAUCAUUGGGCGUUCAAAGCAGAGAGACAAAUGAAUAGGCUAUCAAAACCUAACCUGACUGCAGACUCAGAAAGGCAAAACAAAACAACCAAAUAAAUCAAAAUCACUCCAAAAGGCGGAGGCAAGGCAGAUACACAACAAUCCACGAGGGAAGGAAAAAUCCAAUAAAUCAAAAUCGCUCCACAAGGGAGGAAAACUAAGAAUAGAUAAACAAAACACUGAUCUAAGAAAACUAAAGCGCUCCAAAAGAGGAGGAAAACAGAGGCUAAACUAUCUACUCUGAGUAUAUCAAGAAAAUAAGGCGCUCCAAAAUGGAGGAAAACAAAAGGCUGACUAUGAAAACCAAAACAAAAGACACUAUCAAAAAUUACAAACAAAAUUCACUCUUCUCGAGGCACAAGGAAAAACAGAACAAAAAUCAACAUGAACUUUGAAUACUAACUAGGCAAGACUGUGACAAAGGGCUGGGGUGCACGCAGGAACGAGACACACUGGCACAAGACAAACGAGGACACAGACUAUUUAACACAUGAGGGAGAGGGGAACAGGUGGAAACAAUCAGGAAUCAGGGAUGACGUCAGACCGGGCACACAUGAGGAAGAGCAAGUGACCUGAAAUGAUAGGGAGGUUAGAUUUUCAAAAUAAAACAGGAAGUUCACAAGACAAAAAACCAAGACAAGACAAGACCUAAUCGCUGUGUGACAGAACCCCCCCUUCUAGGACCAACUCCUGAUGGUCCAGGUUGACCAGGAUGGUCCCUAUUAAAAUCCC
rnacentral:lncRNA from 1 species